GAAUAUUGGACAAUGGGGGGAACCCUGAUCCAGCCAUGCCGCGUGUGUGAAGAAGGCCUUUUGGUUGUAAAACACUUUCAGCGAGGAGGAGGCUACUUAGAUUAAUACUCUAGGAUAGUGGACGUUACUCGCAGAAUAAGCACCGGCUAACUCUGUGCCUGCCGCCGCGGUAAUACAGAGGGUGCAAUCGUUAAUCGGAUUUACUGGGCGUAAAGCGCGCGUAGGUGGCCAAUUAAGUCAAAUGUGAAAUCCCCGAGCUUAACUUGGGAAUUGCAUUCGAUACUGGUUGGCUAUAGUAUGUGAGAGGAUGGUAGAAUUCCAGGUGUAGCGGCGAAAUGCGUAGAGAUCUGGAGGAAUACCGAUGGCGAAGGCAGCCAUCUGGCCUAAUACUGACACUGAGGUGCGAAAGCAUGGGGAGCAAACA
rnacentral:rRNA from 1 species